AGCUUAAAGAUUAUAUUUUAAGUAAAUUCUGCCCAGCGUUAUUUAUUAGCGGCCGCAGUACCUUGACUGUGCUAAGGUAGCAUAAUCAAUUGGCUUUUAAUUGAAGUCUGGAAUGAAAGGUUAAAUAAAGAAUUUACUGUCUCUUUUUGAUUUUUUUGAAUUUAUUUAUAAAGUGAAAAUACUUUUUUAAAGAAAAAAGACGAGAAGACCCUUAGAAUUUUUACUUAGUUUUUUUAUUAAAAAUAUUUUUUUGUUGGGGCGACACUGAAACAUAUUUAACUUUCAAGAUUUACAUGACAAAUUUUUUUAAAAGAUCAAAUUACCUAAGGGAUAACAGCAUAAUGAAUUAUUUAGUUUAUGACCUCGAUGUUGGACUAGGAACUAAAAGACUACAGUCAAAAUAGAAUGUUCUGUUCGACCAAUUUUCUCCU
rnacentral:rRNA from 1 species